UACGUAGGGACCAAGCGUUGUUCGGAUUUACUGGGCGUAAAGGGCGCGUAGGCGGCCUUCUAAGUCAGACGUGAAAUCCCCCGGCUUAACCUGGGAACUGCGUCUGAUACUGGGAGGCUUGAGUAUGGGAGAGGGAUGUAGAAUUCCAGGUGUAGCGGUGAAAUGCGUAGAUAUCUGGAGGAAUACCGGUGGCGAAGGCGGCAUCCUGGACCAUUACUGACGCUGAGGCGCGAAAGCGUGGGGAGCAAACAGG
rnacentral:rRNA from 1 species